UACGGAGGGUGCGAGCGUUGUCCGGAAUCACUGGGCGUAAAGGGCGCGUAGGCGGCCCGUCAAGCGUGUGGUGAAAGCCCGGGGCUCAACCCCGGAAUAGCCUUUGAGACUGGAUUGCUAGAAUCUUGGAGAGGCGAGUGGAAUUCCGAGUGUAGAGGUGAAAUUCGUAGAUAUUCGGAAGAACACCGGUGGCGAAGGCGGUUCUCUGGGCCUGUACUGACGCUGAGGAGCGAAAGCGUGGGGAGCGAACAGG
rnacentral:rRNA from 1 species